GGGGGCAAAAUGGUGGCUUUGGAUGCUUGAUCCUGGACUGGGGAGAACUGAUGGAAGAGCGCGUCCUGUUUGGUGUUCUUUGAGCCCGGGCAAUAGGACAGGGAGAAAUUAAAACAAGAAAAGAAUAGGGACCACCUAGUUUGUCUAGAAUUGAGGCGCUUGGGUUUCCUGAGAUACUCCAGGUUCUUGUGGUCAGUCCAGGCCAGUAACAGGGUCUCAAAAGCAAAUACAUUGAUUAAGUCCCUAAGGACGUGUUGAAGGCGGCUUUCCAGGCAGGGGAUAGCGAUUCUUGUUGGUGAUGUCAUUAAGCCCUCUGUAAUCAAUACAGGGACACAGGGACCCGUCCUUCUUUGCUACGAAGAAGAAGCCAGCCCCAGCUGGAAAUGAUGACGGUCUGAUGAUUCCAGCAGCUAACGAUUCAGAGUUGUACUUGUCCAUGGCUUCCCUUUUGUAUUGGAAGAGUGAGUACAGAUAACAUCUGGAUGGAGCAGUGCCAGGAUGGAGGUCAAUCGCACAGUCGCAGGGAUGGUGGGGGGCAAGAGAGAUAGCCCAAGACUUGCUGAACACUGCCCUGUGAUUUCGAGGCCUCCCUGCCUGCGUGGGAGCGAUCAAGUACCCUCCUUAUCUCAUCAGUGAAGGUGUUGAAGGUGGCACGGCAAGGUUCGUUGGCGUCCCGGACGACAUUCCCCCACUCACAGGCUCUCCCUGUGAGGAGGGUGAUAAUAUAUGCCACCCUUGAGCGUUCAGGGGGGGAGGUUGAUGGCUAAAGCUUGAGUAACAAGGAGGACUAAGACAGAAAGGAACGACAUGUUCUGGGGUUGCUGUUGUAUGGUUGAGGAUUGGGCAAACGAGGUUUGUGCCGAGCUGGUGGUGUCAAAGUGGAAGGAAGAGCAGAGCAUUGUUGUUGAAAUUGCAUUGUCAGCUGCAACAAUGUCUGGGAGAUUUGUUGGAGGUUUUGCUGAUGAGAAUUUAUGAGGGCCCCCUGCUGGGCAAUAAUCUGACGUAACCAGCAUCAGAACAAGCCCUAUAGGUCUGGACUGGAGUCUAGUUCGAAGGCUGGGCCUGGGGUGAGAUGCUUCUGCUGGGUCCAUCAUGGCAGCAGUAUACUGUCAUGGGACUGACUGAGUGAGUGUAAACCCAAUAGCAAAAAAAUAGGGAUUUCUCAGAGCUUUAUUAAUACACAGAACCUUUGCUAAGAAGGUGCAGCAGGAGCAGAAGAGAGAAGCAGUGUGUGUAUGAGCCAGUGAAUAAUGAAAGUGAAUGAGAAAACCCCUAGUGACGAGGGAGGAGGCGGGGCUAUGACGUGAGGGAAUCUCCGCUAUCCUGGAAUUUGAAGACUGGGUAAAUUCCGCUAGCGUGACUUGCUUUUUUAUUAAAUAUUAUCAAUUUGCAUAUUCAUUAAUAAUUAAUAAGCAAUAAUUCAAAAAAAUUAAAUAACUUUCAAGUCAUGUGACCCAUUGCCUCAAAAUCUAUGGACAUUUUAUUAAUUUUAUUUUAAUAACAUAUAUUAAUAAGUAUGAGACCUCAAAAUCUAUCUUUAAAUGUGCCCCCUGUUUUGCAGAGGGCACAACACAUUUUUUAUUAAAUAUUAUUACUUUGCAUAUUCAUUAAUAAUUAAUAAAUUCUAAUCUGAUUUUAAAUAAUUCUACUCUGUACACCUGAGACACGUCUGCUUAGAGAAGUAGAGAAUUUCAGUUUUAAUCAAACUUUUUAAACAUGAUAUGUAGCUUCACCUAAUCAGCCUUAAAAGGUAAAUAACUAAAAGUCCUUUUUUUUUCUAGCCCCUCUAGGUCUGUUUGUUUUAGAUCAGUUUUAGAUCUGCAGCAUUCAUAUAAUUAUAUUUUUUGGAAAUGCAUGUGAUCUUAUAACCUGUAGACAUUGAGCUGAUGUAUGUUUUAAAAAUGAGAUUCGCUGAAGUAUGGCCAGGUUUUUGCAUGACAUAAAAAAAUUUUUUUGUGUGUGCUCAAUUUGGUUAAUAUGUUGGUGACCCCUGUCAUGCAAUAAUACACUCUUUGUUACAAAAAUUUAAACAUGUUUACAAAACACAUUCAUACAGUACAGUAUGAGUGCUCUGGACUAAGCAUUACAGAACACUAGGUGGAGCUAAUAGUGCUAUACCAGACAGUAGUGUUAGGAGUGGGUAACCAUUCCAUAACUAAUUGUUGGUUUGAGUAAAUAACUAAUGAUGGGUUAACAAUUGGUCUAAUCACAGAGUACUAUGCUUAUUUGAUAUUUCUGUUUUUUUUUUUUUUCCAAGGCUGUCAAAUUAACGUUGUGGUGCAUAUAUUCACUUUACAUUACCAUAAGUGUUUCUGCCCGGCACACUAACUGUGAAGUCACCCAACCAUAACUAUCAUCUUGCUCUCCAAGAUGGCGGCGCGGCAAUAGCACGCAGCGGCCGCUCUGGAGCCAAAAUGGUGCUACUUUGUUUACUUCGUGUUUGUAGCACGUUUAUUUUACUCAGUAAAUGGACAUCGGUGCAAACGGUGUUUGUAUUUACCACCGCCAGACACUUUUACAUCUCAAUAACUCGGUAAAAUCCAUUCAAGAUGAGAUGCAUGAGUACACGAUACACUAAUGCACUUACCCCAGUGUUUCACUAGUGCUUGGAUACUAUCAAGGUGGAAGUAGUAAAAACAAUAUUUUUUUGUUGACUUACAUCCCCUGUCUUUGUAGAUACACAUGCCAGAUGGUUUUGUCCUUUUGUGGGAAUUUGUGUUGCAUGCUCCAUCAUGGCUGUUUUAACUGGACUCUACAUCAUGCGCAAAAAACUUAGAGAGCCAAGAAAUGUUUGCUGCAAAUCUGAUACACAACAGUCUAAUGAUCCUGAAGAAAUGCACCAUUACGCCAGGUGUGGACAAAGAGUGGAAGACAUCUACAACACUCUGUGGACUCCUUCAACGCUUGGAACACCUGAUCACCCACCCAUUUAUGAAAAUGCAUAACAACGGAAUUCUAAAAAAGUAUAUGUGCUUUUAUCCUGAGCAUUGGAUGAACAUUUUUAAACACUUUAGAUAAAAUUCACACCUGAAUGUUUGUUAAUAAGAACCAAUGAAACCUCUUAGGAACAGCAUCCUUCAAAAUGUUGGCUCUGGUGAGAGAAACACAAGCCUGAACUAUUAAAAGUUGGUUUUGUUGUCCCUCAGGAAAAAUCUUUUACGCCAUAUCAUUUUUUAUUUCUUUAUGGUGAAGAGUUUAAUAUAGAACCCAGUUGGUACAGUUUAGUAUUUGGUAUUCACUUUUUCAGGAAAUGCAGUGGUCAGAACCAGUAUUGGGUGUAACGCAUUACAAAAUUGAAUGUGUUAGAGUAUUUCGAUUACUUUUUUGAUGUAACAAGUAAUCUAACACGUUAGGUCUGCCAUUUAAGUACUCAGUUAUUUAGUUAUUU